rnacentral:lncRNA from 1 species
GUAUUUGACUGUUCUGCUUUCUGGUUUCAGUAAUUCGCCAAAAUGACGAACACAAAGGGAAAGAGGAGAGGCACCCGAUAUAUGUUCUCUAGGCCUUUUAGAAAACAUGAGUUGUUCCUUUGGCCACAUAUAUGCGAAUCUAUAAGAAAGGUGAUAUUGUAGACAUCAAGGAAUGGGUACUGUUCAAAAAGGAAUGCCCCACAAGUGUUACCAUGGCAAAACUGGAAGAGUCUACAAUGUUACCCAGCAUGCUGUUGGCAUUGUUGUAAACAAACAAGUUAAGGCAAGAUUCUUGCCAAGAGAAUUAAUGUGCGUAUUGAGCACAUUAAGCACUCUAAGAGCCGAGAUAGCUUCCUGAAACGUGUGAAGGAAAAUGAUCAG